rnacentral:rRNA from 1 species
UUUUUGAAUAUAAUUUAAAGUAGGGCCUGCCCACUGAUAUUUUGAAGGGCCGCAGUAUUUUGACUGUGCAAAGGUAGCAUAAUCAUUAGUUUUUUAAUUGAAAGCUAGAAUGAAUGGUUUGAUGAAAAAAUAACUGUCUUAAAUUUAUUUUUAGAAUUUUAUUUUUAAGUUAAAAAGCUUAAAUUUAUUAAAAAGACGAGAAGACCCUAUAGAGUUUAAUUUUUUUAAAUUUAUUAUUUUAGUAGAAUUUAAUUUUUAUAGGUUUAGGAUAAUUUGAUUGGGGUGAUUGAAAAAUUAAAUUAACUUUUUUUAAAUUUUUUCAUUGAUUUAUGUUAAAUUGAUCCAAAAUUUUUGAUUAUAAGAUUUAAUUACCUUAGGGAUAACAGCGUAAUAUUCUUUUAGAGUUCUUAUUGAAAAGAAUGAUUGCGACCUCGAUGUUGGAUUAAAAUUAAAUUAUGGUGUAGAAGCUAUUAAUAUUAGGUCUGUUCGACCUUUAAAAUUUUACA